UACGGGGGGGGCAAGCGUUGUUCGGAAUUACUGGGCGUAAAGGGCGCGUAGGCGGCCUGCUAAGUCGGACGUGAAAUCCCCGGGCUCAACCCGGGAACUGCGUCCGAUACUGGAAGGCUUGAAUCCGGGAGAGGGAUGCGGAAUUCCAGGUGUAGCGGUGAAAUGCGUAGAUAUCUGGAGGAACACCGGUGGCGAAGGCGGCAUCCUGGACCGGUAUUGACGCUGAGGCGCGAAAGCCAGGGGAGCAAACGGG
rnacentral:rRNA from 1 species